rnacentral:misc_RNA from 1 species
UUUCCGUAGGUGAACCUGCGGAAGGAUCAUUAAUGAGUUGGCAUGGAGUUCGAUGCUGGCAGCCACUUUUUGGAUGCAUGUGCUUGCCCAAACAAUCAUCUUCCAAACACCGGUGCACAUUUUUGAGGGAGUCUUGAGUUCGUUUCCGCUCUUGGGUGAUUUUCUCACAUUCCCUUAAAUCAUUAUACGCUAUUAACAAUGUUGAACGUGCUCUGUGCCGCAAGGCUAUUAUUAUAAUACAACUUUUAACAACGGAUCUCUUGGCUCUG